AGGCUAAAUACUCCUGACUGACCGAUAGUGAACCAGUACCGUGAGGGAAAGGCGAAAAGAACCCCGGCGAGGGGAGUGAAAAAGAACCUGAAACCGUGUACGUACAAGCAGUGGGAGCACCUUCGGGUGUGACUGCGUACCUUUUGUAUAAUGGGUCAGCGACUUAUAUUCUGUAGCAAGGUUAACCGUAUAGGGGAGCCGCAGGGAAACCGAGUCUUAACUGGGCGUUAAGUUGCAGGGUAUAGACCCGAAACCCGGUGAUCUAGCCAUGGGCAGGUUGAAGGUUGGGUAACACUAACUGGAGGACCGAACCGACUAAUGUUGAAAAAUUAGCGGAUGACUUGUGGCUGGGGGUGAAAGGCCAAUCAAACCGGGAGAUAGCUGGUUCUCCCCGAAAGCUAUUUAGGUAGCGCCUCGUGAAUUCAUCUUCGGGGGUAGAGCACUGUUUCGGCUAGGGGGUCAUCCCGACUUACCAACCCGAUGCAAACUACGAAUACCGAAGAAUGUUAUCACGGGAGACACACGGCGGGUGCUAACGUCCGUCGUGAAGAGGGAAACAACCCAGACCGCCAGCUAAGGUCCCAAAGUCAUGGUUAAGUGGGAAACGAUGUGGGAAGGCACAGACAGCCAGGAUGUUGGCUUAGAAGCAGCCAUCAUUUAAAGAAAGCGUAAUAGCUCACUGGUCGAGUCGGCCUGCGCGGAAGAUGUAACGGGGCUAAACCAUGCACCGAAGCUGCGGCAGCGACACUAUGUGUUGUUGGGUAGGGGAGCGUUCUGUAAGCCUGCGAAGGUGUGCUGUGAGGCAUGCUGGAGGUAUCAGAAGUGCGAAUGCUGACAUAAGUAACGAUAAAGCGGGUGAAAAGCCCGCUCGCCGGAAGACCAAGGGUUCCUGUCCAACGUUAAUCGGGGCAGGGUGAGUCGACCCCUAAGGCGAGGCCGAAAGGCGUAGUCGAUGGGAAACAGGUUAAUAUUCCUGUACUUGGUGUUACUGCGAAGGGGGGACGGAGAAGGCUAUGUUAGCCGGGCGACGGUUGUCCCGGUUUAAGCAUGUAGGCUGGUUGUCCAGGCAAAUCCGGAUAAUCAAGGCUGAGGUGUGAUGACGAGGCACUACGGUGCUGAAGUAACAAAUGCCCUGCUUCCAGGAAAAGCCUCUAAGCAUCAGGUAACAUCAAAUCGUACCCCAAACCGACACAGGUGGUCAGGUAGAGAAUACCAAGGCGCUUGAGAGAACUCGGGUGAAGGAACUAGGCAAAAUGGUGCCGUAACUUCGGGAGAAGGCACGCUGGUGUGUAGGUGAAGUCCCUGCGGAUGGAGCUGAGACCAGUCGAAGAUACCAGCUGGCUGCAACUGUUUAUUAAAAACACAGCACUGUGCAAACACGAAAGUGGACGUAUACGGUGUGACGCCUGCCCGGUGCCGGAAGGUUAAUUGAUGGGGUUAUCCGUAAGGAGAAGCUCUUGAUCGAAGCCCCGGUAAACGGCGGCCGUAACUAUAACGGUCCUAAGGUAGCGAAAUUCCUUGUCGGGUAAGUUCCGACCUGCACGAAUGGCGUAAUGAUGGCCAGGCUGUCUCCACCCGAGACUCAGUGAAAUUGAACUCGCUGUGAAGAUGCAGUGUACCCGCGGCAAGACGGAAAGACCCCGUGAACCUUUACUAUAGCUUGACACUGAACAUUGAGCCUUGAUGUGUAGGAUAGGUGGGAGGCUUUGAAGCGUGGACGCCAGUCUGCGUGGAGCCAACCUUGAAAUACCACCCUUUAAUGUUUGAUGUUCUAACGUUGGCCCCUGACCGGGGUUGCGGACAGUGUCUGGUGGGUAGUUUGACUGGGGCGGUCUCCUCCCAAAGCGUAACGGAGGAGCACGAAGGUUAGCUAAUCCUGGUCGGACAUCAGGAGGUUAGUGCAAUGGCAUAAGCUAGCUUGACUGCGAGCGUGACGGCGCGAGCAGGUGCGAAAGCAGGUCAUAGUGAUCCGGUGGUUCUGAAUGGAAGGGCCAUCGCUCAACGGAUAAAAGGUACUCCGGGGAUAACAGGCUGAUACCGCCCAAGAGUUCAUAUCGACGGCGGUGUUUGGCACCUCGAUGUCGGCUCAUCACAUCCUGGGGCUGAAGUAGGUCCCAAGGGUAUGGCUGUUCGCCAUUUAAAGUGGUACGCGAGCUGGGUUUAGAACGUCGUGAGACAGUUCGGUCCCUAUCUGCCGUGGGCGCUGGAGAAUUGAGGGGGGCUGCUCCUAGUACGAGAGGACCGGAGUGGACGCAUCACUGGUGUUCGGGUUGUCAUGCCAAUGGCACUGCCCGGUAGCUAAAUGCGGAAGAGAUAAGUGCUGAAAGCAUCUAAGCACGAAACUUGCCCCGAGAUGAGUUCUCCCUGAGACUUUAAGUCUCCUGAAGGAACGUUGAAGACGACGACGUUGAUAGGCCGGGUGUGUAAGCGCAGCGAUGCGUUGAGCUAACCGGUACUAAUGAACCGUGAGGCUUAACCUU
rnacentral:rRNA from 1 species